UACGUAGGGGGCAAGCGUUGUUCGGAUUACUGGGCGUAAAGGGCGCGUAGGCGGCCAGCACAAGUCAGUUGUGAAAUCUCCGGGCUUAACUCGGAAAGGUCAACUGAUACUGUGCGACUAGAGUGCAGAAGGGGCAACUGGAAUUCUCGGUGUAGCGGUGAAAUGCGUAGAUAUCGAGAGGAACACCUGCGGCGAAGGCGGGUUGCUGGGCUGACACUGACGCUGAUGCGCGAAGCCAGG
rnacentral:rRNA from 1 species